rnacentral:rRNA from 1 species
UACGUAGGUGACAAGCGUUGUCCGGAUUUACUGGGCGUAAAGAGCGCGCAGGCGGUCGUUCAAGUCGAGUGUGAAAGCCCCCGGCUCAACUGUGGAGGGUCACUCGAUACUGAUCGACUCGAAGGCAGGAGAGGGUAGUGGAAUUCCCGGUGUAGUGGUGAAAUGCGUAGAUAUCGGGAGGAACACCAGUGGCGAAGGCGACUACCUGGCCUGUUCUUGACGCUGAGGCGCGAAAGCUAGGGGAGCAAACGGG